GCAAGAUUGGUUGCUGGGUCUUUCCAGGGCUACAAAGGGCAUGUUGAUGGGAAACCAAGUGAUGCUCGGUUCAAUCAGCCAAAAGGCAUAACUAUGGAUGAUAAAGGAAAUGUGUAUGUUGCUGAUACCCUGAACCUUGCCAUCAGAAAGAUUGUUGAUGCUGGUGUGACAACAAUUGCAGGAGGCAAGACAAACGUUCCAGGCUAUAGCGAUGGGCCCGGUGAGGAAGCGAAGUUUUCAAAUGAUUUUGAUGUCAUAUAUGUCAGGCGUACCUGUUCAUUGUUGGUUGUUGAUAGAGGAAAUGCUGCA
rnacentral:misc_RNA from 1 species